rnacentral:pre_miRNA from 1 species
GGAAACUUAAAAACUACCGUUGGAUCGAUAAAUGGACGUCCGAGAUUCGUCCAUGUCACCAUGAGUUAAAAUUUAACUCGCAGAUUCACUCAUGAGUUAAAAUUUUACUGGGAGUUAAAUUUUAACUCAUGGUGACAUGGACGAAUCUCGGACAUCCAUUUCUCGAUCCAACGGUUGUUUCCAAGUUUAC